AUACCUUAUUCGGCUUUUUGGCUAAGUUCAAGUGUGGUAUCUGUUCUUAUCAGUAUAAUAUUUGAUACGUAGGCUAUAGCCCACAUGAUAUUAAAUUAUAUUUUCAGGGGAGAGGCUACCACAAUAGCUUGCUAUUGGGUCUCUCGUGUGUCACCCAAGCGUUGCACAAAAGCUUGGGCCUGAUACACCCCAU